GCAAGCCUGAACCAGCCAUGCCGCGUGCAGGAAGACGGCCCUAUGGGUUGUAAACUGCUUUUGUCAGGGAAUAAACCCCCGCUCGUGAGCGGGGCUGAAGGUACCUGAAGAAUAAGCAUCGGCUAACUCCGUGCCAGCAGCCGCGGUAAUACGGAGGAUGCAAGCGUUAUCCGGAUUCAUUGGGUUUAAAGGGUGCGCAGGCGGAUUGGUAAGUCAGGGGUGAAAUCCCACAGCUCAACUGUGGAACUGCCUUUGAUACUGUCAGUCUAGAGUAUAGUUGAAGUUGGCGGAAUGUGUCAUGUAGCGGUGAAAUGCUUAGAUAUGACACAGAACACCGAUCGCGAAGGCAGCUAGCUAAGCUAUAACUGACGCUCAUGCACGAAAGCGUGGGGAUCAAACAGGAUUAGAUACCCUGGUAGUCCACGCUGUAAACGAUGAUUACUCGAUGUUGGCGAUACACAGUCAGCGUCUGAGCGAAAGCAAUAAGUAAUCCACCUG
rnacentral:rRNA from 1 species